GACGAACGCUGGCGGCGUGCUUAACACAUGCAAGUCGAACGGAAAGGCCCUGCUUUUGUGGGGUGCUCGAGUGGCGAACGGGUGAGUAACACGUGAGUAACCUGCCCUUGACUUUGGGAUAACUUCAGGAAACUGGGGCUAAUACCGGAUAGGAGCUCCUGCUGCAUGGUGGGGGUUGGAAAGUUUCGGCGGUUGGGGAUGGACUCGCGGCUUAUCAGCUUGUUGGUGGGGUAGUGGCUUACCAAGGCUUUGACGGGUAGCCGGCCUGAGAGGGUGACCGGCCACAUUGGGACUGAGAUACGGCCCGGACUCCUACGGGAGGCAGCAGUGGGGAAUAUUGCACAAUGGGCGGAAGCCUGAUGCAGCAACGCCGCGUGCGGGAUGACGGCCUUCGGGUAGUAAACCGCUUUCGCCUGUGACGAAGCGUGAGUGACGGUAAUGUGUAAAGAAGCACCGGCUAACUACGUG
rnacentral:rRNA from 1 species